rnacentral:rRNA from 1 species
UACGUAGGGUGCAAGCGUUGUCCGGAAUUAUUGGGCGUAAAGAGCUCGUAGGCGGUUUGUCGCGUCUGCUGUGAAAACUCGGGGCUUAACCCCGGGCCUGCAGUGGGUACGGGCAGACUAGAGUGCGGUAGGGGAGACUGGAAUUCCUGGUGUAGCGGUGAAAUGCGCAGAUAUCUGGAGGAAUACCGGUGGCGAAGGCGGCAUCCUGGACCGACAUUGACGCUGAACGGCGAAAGCUAGGGGAGCAAACGGG